GACGAACGCUGGCGGCGUGCUUAACACAUGCAAGUCGAACGGAAAGGCCCUGCUUUUGUGGGGUGCUCGAGUGGCGAACGGGUGAGUAACACGUGAGUAACCUGUCCCUGACUUUGGGAUAACUUCAUGAAACUGGGGCUCAUCCCGGCUAGGAGCUCUUGCUUCAUGGUGGGGGUUGGAUAGUUUCGCUGGUUGGGGAUGGACACGCCGCGUAUCAGCUUGGUGGUUGGGUAGUGGAUUACCAAGGCUUGGACGGGUAGCCGGCCUGAGAGGGUGACCGGACAAAUUGGGACUGAGAUACGGCACAGACUACAACGGGAGGCAGCGGUGGGGAGUAGAACACAAUAGGCGGGAGCAUAGUGCAGCAACGCCGCGCGCGGGAAGACGGCAAGGGGGUUGGGAUCCAAAUUCGCCUGACACGAAGCGUGAGUGACGGUAAUGGGUAAAGAAGCACCGGCUAACUACGUG
rnacentral:rRNA from 1 species